UGUUGAUUGCAAGCGAGGAGCGCGCUGGGUGCAACUCGCACCACAGGCAGCCUGCUUUCAGUCGUCUGCUCGCCGCAGCCUCGGAGCAACUCAAACCAACCACCGCACAGACUGGUGGCCGACUUGGAUUAACUCGUAUUUCGAAAUUGACCGCUUUCCCCCCUCCGCAUUCUAAAAUCAAUUAUCUGCUCAUUAGCGCGACUUUGUCGCUUUUAUUUGCAGAUUCUACACAAAUGGAGGAUCUGUAAAUAAAAUAAACACUUGUAAAAUUUCGGACAUAGCGUCGCUGCAUUUGUGAUAGCGGAGCGCUGACCCCGGGGGUCCGCAAAGUUCCCGGCCUGAUUAACCUCGGCAGAGCGGCGCGGGAGCAAAGGUUAACCGGCCUAAUCAACUUCAAGAGAGCGACUCUGUCACAUCAUCAACUGGGACACUUCCACACACACUCAAAAAUGCAGGUAAUUUUUUUUGCACAAUCAAUUCAUUAAUUAUCAUUAUUAUUAUUAUUAUUAUCAAAUCAGAGAUUACUUUAGUCUCCUUGACAUUUUCAUUUUCUCCUAUAUGGAUUUAAAUGCCGAUGUACUGUAAAUAUCAAAACUAUAACAAUAAACAGAUUUUGACUGCUUUGUCAUAAUUGAUGUUGAUGCAAAUGAUGUUUAUGAAUUUUAUGUCACAUUUUCUGGACAGUUUAUGAUGAUUAUGAUACUAUACUGUGAACGUCAAUCACAUUGAACAAAGCGAAGCAUUGUUGUCUUUUUAAAGGCAGGAUUGCUGGAUUAGACAGACGUAUUGGAGGUUUUUGUGUGUACCUAAUAUUCUGGCAUGUGCUCAUAGUACUACAAAUGUAACAUUAAAUGACUCAAAUUAGGCUUGUGUCAUUAAUGCUGACAUCUCAAUUGUGGGUGUGUUUGGUUUUUAAAAAUUAAGCAACUUGUGUGUGGCCCCAUUCAUAAAGUUGUGCUCCCUCACACACACAACUGCAAUGUGUGUGUGCCUUCACAGUCCACAUUUGCCAAUGACAGACGACAGCAGCAAUUUGCACAGAUAGAGAUCAAUUUGUCUCAAUGAUCACUCUAUAGGCCCACUGCCAGCCUGCUUUCAGUCUUGCCUGUUAAAAUCAGCAGUUCCAACGCUGAAUGCACUCAAGC